CAAUUCACUCCCCAAGCCCGUGCCAGGCUCUCUGCAAUAAACUUCCUCUCCGUUUCACAGCUAAUCAUGUGCAGCAUAAAUCCCAGAGAUCACAGCCUGCUCACAGGGCUGAGGAAGGAUCAGUCUGGGGGGUUUAUCCUCAGAUGUGAUCCAGCUGACACAACUUUUCUCUUCUUUUCACCCUCCACCACGGCAAAGGAACCUCAAUGAGGGGGAUAAUCAGAGUUCAGCUUAUUUUCUAAUUCAAAUGCAAAGCACCUGGACAUCCCCACUUGCUAUGCUGCCCACCACCUCUUCCCUUUCUGUUUCCCUUGUAAACAAGCUGCAGGUGAAUCGUGCUGCUCAGCACUUUGCAGACUUUAUCCCGCUAUUUUUAAAUACAGCACAAAUGUGAUUAGCACAUCAGCCUGAUUAUCUCCACAAGGAUUCAAGAAGAAGACUGCCAGCCAUCUUCAAGUCUGUGGAAAUCCUGUUAAGGUUAAAGACAGCUUGCACAGGAGUGAGGGGUGGUGCAGGGGGUGCUGCUGUGGUUCUGGAGAGGUGAGCAAAGGGAAAAGCUGCACUGUCACACUCUGCCUCUUUGUGUCACCCCAGCAGCACGAGCCAUGCAGAGAACUCUUCAGUCUGCCCUUUCCUUUAUCAUAAAGCUGGCUUCCUUUCUGCUCUUUUGGACACCUGCCCAGCUUCUCAGACACUGAUACUCUCAGUAUGGACAAACAGGCACAUGGGUGUCUUGUGAGAGCACACUCCAACACUUUCAGAGCUAUUUGGGUUUGCAGAGGCCCAAAAUAUGCCUUUUUUUGGAUUCAGUGGGCUGACUCUGGAAACACAGCACGGCAUCUGCAUUUCCAUCUGGGAAAUGGGGAGGAAAUCUGGACAGACAUAUGGGAGUCAGUGUUUUUAUAUUUCCUACAUUGAUGGAUAAGCAUCUGAAUUCUCAACAGCCAUCUCCUUAGCUCAGAGCCAACAGAGUUUGCUCCUUGUUGGGUACAAGAAAAAGUAUUUCAGACCCAAACUCCACUGAUGAGGAGUCAGAGCUCCUGUAUGUCAAGAAGAGCUGCCCUCCCUCUUGGGAAGCCUGUUCAGAUCACUGGGUGCCUUGAUUCAGCUGUGCAAGAGCCUGGAUUCAGCACAAAGGCUAUGAGUGCUUCAGUCACACUUGACUCUAAGAAGUCAACCCCAAGUGUUGACAGAGAUGGGAAAAUAUUUAUUCUCAAAUCAGUUCCUCUUUGCAGACCUUAAAAAAAGGUUUUUUUCCUCUUGCUGUUAGCCAGAAGGGGUGCUAAACACACAUAUAUGCACAUGCAGGCGUACAUAUAUCCCUGUGCAAUUUUCCCGCAACCUUGUAAUCUCCUGGAAAAUUCCCCAGCAGGCAUUAAAACCCCAGAAAUCUCCAGAAAGGCUAAUAAAUCAUUCUAAGUAUGAUGUUUGCAGGGGAAGGCAUUUUGGAGAUGAUAAAAUGAAGCCCAUUUUCCAAAUGUCAAUGAACCCACAGCAGUGGCGAGUGGCUUUUCAGAUGUCUGCCCACUUAUUAGAGAUGUGCAAAGUCAGGUGCCUACGAUAUUAGACUAGAAAAAGUUAGAGUAUAAAUGAGUGUAGCCUUUCCAAGCUUAUAAAAAGGGAGGCAGGGAUCAGAAGUGAUUGGGGGGGGGAAAAAAAUGAAUCUCCCACAAGCCUAUUUUUCAGAAACCAGAGUUCAGUUUGCUCCUGAAGCAGCAGGAAGCACAGCAUGGAGAGGUAAUUGCCCAUGAGAAAUUCUCUUUGAAUACAUAGGACAACAUUACUGGGCAGAGAGGCAAGAGGAGGAACAAACCAGAGCUCUGGGUGUGCUACUCAGGAAGCUGUUUGUACCAAUUCCUACAUACCCACAUACUUCUGAUGUAUUAAUUAAUACCUGGGAGGAAAGUCACCCAGGCCAGGGGCUUGCUGUGUCUGUUGUGACCUGCCAAAUCCCAGCACCUCUCAUGUGCUUAUACAUGGGAGACACAAGAAAUGUUAAACACAAACACAGAAAUGUCAGAUCCAGCUGCAGAAAUGAGAUGUGAGGGUUACUGUGGUGAAUAAUACAUUCAUUGUGUUCUUGCUUUUGAGGUACUACAGGGAAUAGGAUGCCAAAUUCCCUCCAUGCCAUCACAAUCACAGAGCAUUUUACAAUAGGAUCCUACCUCCUUAUUUUUUUGUCAUUGGUAAAGUAACCAUUUGGAAGUGAAACUCCUGUAACCUUUCAUUAAAGAAGAUGGGAAGCCAAGAAAGUGGAGGGAAUAGAUGGCAUUUUAAUGAAACAUUAGACACAAAGUCAUGGCCACACUAUUGUGUGUUAGAAAGCUCUGAAGGAUGCUCAGCCAACUU